rnacentral:lncRNA from 1 species
UAAAAGUUUGGAAAAUUUGUAGCCCAGCUAUGUGGUAGAAAAGAAAAACCCAUUUUCUGUGGAGGAAUUCAAGCCAGCUGCAGAAAUUUGCAUAUGUAAAGAGGAGCCAAAUGUUGAUAGCCAACAUAAUAGGGAAAAUGCCUCAAAGGCAUUUCAGAGGUCUUUGCAGCAGCCCCUCCCAUCCCAGGCCUGGAGGCCCACAAGGAAAGAAUAGUUUUGUGGGCCAGGACCAAGGUCCGGCCACUCUGUGCAGCCUGGGGACAUGGUGCCCUGAAUCCUGGCUGCCCCAGCUCCAGCCAUGGCUAAAAGGGGCCAAGGUAUAGCUCAGGCAGAGGGUGCCAGCCAUAAGCCUUGGCAGCUUCCAUGUGGUGUUAAGCCUGCAAGUACACAGAGUGUGAGAGUUGAAGCUUGGAAGCCUCUGCCUAGAUUUCAGAGGAUGUGUGGAAAUCCUUGAAUGUCCAGGAAGAUUGCUGCAGGGGUGGAGUCUGUCAGGCCUCUGAGCCCAAGCCAAGCCAUCGCAUCCCCUGUGACUUGCAUGUAUACGCCCAGAUGGCCUGAAGUAACUGAAGAAUCACAAAAGAAGUGAAUAUGCCUUGCCCCACCUUAACUGAUGACAUUCCACCACAAAAGAAGUGUAAAUGGCCGGUCCUUGCCUUAACUGAUGACACUACCUUGUGAAAGUCCUUUUCCUGGCUCAUCCUGGCUCAAAAAGCACCCCCACUGAGCACCUUGCGAUCCCCACUCCUACCCGCCAGAGAACAAACCCCCUUUGACUGUAAUUUUCCUUUACCUACCCAAAUCCUAUAAAACGGCCCCACCCUUAUCUCCGUUUGCUGACUCUUUUCGGACUCAGCCUGCCUGCACCCAGGUGAAAUAAACAGCCAUGUUGCUCACACAAAGCCUGUUUGGUGGUCUCUUCACACGGACGCGCAUGAAGUUUGGUGCCAUGACUCGGAUCGGGGGACCUCCCUUGGGAGAUCAAUCCCCUGUCCUCCUGCUCUUUGCUCCGUGAGAAACAUCCACCUACGACCUCAGGUCCUCAGACCGACCGGCCCAAGAAACAUCUCACCAAUUUCGAAUCCGGUAAGUGGCCUCUUUUUACUCUCUUCUCCAAUCUCCCUCACUAUCCCUCAACCUCUUUCUCCUUUCAAUCUUGGCGCCACACUUCAAUCUCUCCCUUCUCUUAAUUUCAAUUCCUUUCAUUUUCUGGUAGAGACAAAAGAGACAUGUUUUAUCCAUGAACCCAAAACUCCAGCGCCGGUCACGGGCUGGGAAGGCAGCCUUCCCCUUGGUGUUUAAUCAUUGCAGGGACACCUCUCUGAUUAUACACUCACGUUUCAAGGGUGUCAGACCACGCAGGGACGCCUGCCUUGGUCCUUCACCCUUAGCGGCAAGUCCCGCUUUCCUGGGGCAGGGGCAAGUAUCCCUCAACCCCUUCUCCUUCACCCUUAGUGGCAAGUCCCGCUUUCCUGGAGCAGGGGCAAGUACCCCUCAAUCCCUUCUCCUUCACCCUUAGUGGCAAGUCCCGCUUUCCUAGGGGGCAAGAAGCCCCCAGUUGCUUAUUUCCACACCCCAACCUCUUAUCUCUGUGCCCCAAUCCCUUAUUUCCGCACCCUGACCUCUUAUCUCUGUGCCCCCAUCCCUUAUUUCCGUGCCCCAACCCCUUCUCUGCUUUUCUGGAGGGCAAGAACCCCCCAACCCUUCUCCGUGUCUCUUUUCUCUGGGCUUGCCUCCUUCACUAUGGGUAAGCUUCCACCCUCCAUUCCUCCUUCUCCUCCCUUAGCCUGUGUUCUCAAAAACUUAAAACCUCUUCAACUCACACCUGACCUAAAACCUAAAUGACUUAUUUUCUUCUGCAAUGCCGUUUGACCCCAAUACAAACUCGACAGUAGUUCCAAAUAGCCAGAAAAUGGCACUUUGAAUUUUUCCAUCCUGCAAAAUCUAAAUAAUUCUUGUCGUAAAAUAGGCAAACGGUCUGAGGUGCCUGACGUCCAGGCAUUCUUUUACACAUCAGUCCCUUCCUAGUCUCUGUGACCAGUGCAACUCGUCCCAAAUCUUCCUUCUUUCCCUCCCGCCUGUCCCCUCAGUACCAACCCCAAGCGUCGCUGAGUCUUUCUAAUCUUCCUUUUCUACAGACCCAUCUGACCUCUCCCUUCCUCCCCAGGCUGCUCCUGGCCAGGCCGAGCUAGGUCCCAAUUCUUCCUCAGCCUCUGCUCCUCCACCCUAUAAUCUUUUUAUCACCUCCCCUCCUCACACCUGGUCGGGCUUACAGUUUCGUUCGGUGACUAGCCCUCCCCCACCUGCCCAGCAAUUUACUCUUAAAAAGGUGGCUGGAGCUAAAGGCAUAGUCAAGGUUAAUGCUCCUUUUUCUUUACCCCAAAUCAGAUAGCGUUUAGGCUCUUUUUCAUCAAAUAUAAAAAUCCAGCCCAGUUCAUGGCUUGUUUGGCAGCAACCCUGAGACGCUUUACAGCCCUAGACCCUAAAAGGUCAAAAGGCCGUCUUAUGCUCAAUAUACAUUUUAUUACCCAAUCUGCUCCCGAUAUUAAAUAAAACUCCAAAAAUUAAAUUCUGGCCCUCAAACCCCACAACAGGAUUUAAUUAACCUCACCUUCAAGGUGUACCAUAAUAGAAAAAAGUUGCAAUUCCUUGCCUCCACUGUGAGACAAACCCCAGCCACGUCUCCAGCACACAAGAACUUCCAAACGCCUGAACCGCAGCGGCCAGGCGUUCCUCCAGAACCUCCUCCCACAGGAGCUUGCUACACGUGCCAGAAAUCUGGCCACUGGGCCAAGGAAUGCCCGCAGCCUGGGAUUCCUCCUAAGCCGCGUCCCAUCUGUGUGGGACCCCACUGAAAAUCGGACUGUUCAACUCACCUGGCAGCCACUCCCAGAGCCCCUGGAACUCUGGCCCAAGCCUCUCUGACUGACUCCUUCCCAGAUCUUCUCGGCUUAGCGGCUGAAGACUGACACUGCCGGAUCACCUCGGAAGCCCCCUAGACAGUCACUGACGCCGAGCUUCAGGUAACUCUCACAGUGGAAGGUAAGCCCGUCCCCUUCUUAAUCAAUACGGAGGCUACUCACUCCACAUUACCCUCUUUUCAAGGGCCUGUUUCCCUUGCCUCCAUAACUGUUGUGGGUAUUGACGGCCAGGCAAACCUCUUAAAACUCCCCAACUCUGGUGCCAACUUAGACAAUACUCUUUUAAGCACUCCUUUUUAGUCAUCCCCACCUGCCCAGUUCCCUUAUUAGGCCGAGACACUUUAACUAAAUUAUCUGCUUCCCUGACUAUUCCUGGACUACAGCUAUAUCUCAUUGCCGCCCUUCUUCCCAAUUCAAAGCCUCCUUUGCGUCCUCCUCUUCUAUCCCCCCACCUUAACCCACAAGUAUAAGAUACCUCUACUCCCUCCUUGGCGACCGAUCAUGCACCCCUUACCAUCUCAUUAAAACCUAAUCACCCUUACCCCACUCAACGCCAAUAUCCCAUCCCGCAGCACGCUUUAAAAAGAUUAAAGCCUGUUAUCACUCGCCUGCUACAGCAUGGCCUUUUAAAGCCUAUAAACUCUCCUUACAAUUCCCCCAUUUUACCUGUCCUAAAACCAGACAAGCCUUACAAGUUAGUUCAGGAUCUGCACCUUAUCAACCAAAUUGUUUUGCCUAUCCACCCCGUGGUGCCAAACCCGUAUACUCUCCUGUCCUCAAUACCUGCCUCUACAACCCAUUAUUCUGUUCUAGAUCUCAAACAUGCUUUCUUUACUAUUCCUUUGCACCCUUAAUCCCAGCCUCUCUUUGCUUUCACUUGGACUGACCCUGACACCCAUCAAGCUCAGCAAAUUACCUAGGCUGUACUGCCGCAAAGCUUCUCAGACAGCCCCCAUUACUUCAAUCAAGCCCAAAUUUCUUCCUCAUCUGUUACCUAUCUCGGCAUAAUUCUCAUAAAAACACACGUGCUCUCCCUGCCAAUCGCGUCCGACUGAUCUCUCAAACCCAAGCACCUUCUAUAAAACAACAACUCCUUUCCUUCCUAGGCGUGGUUAGCGCGGUCAGAAUUCUUACACAAGAGCCAGGACCACACCCUGUAGCCUUUCUGUCCAAACAACUUGACCUUACUGUUUUAGCCUAGCCCUCAUGUCUGCGUGCAGCGGCUGCCGCUGCUUUAAUACUUAUAGAGGCCCUCAAAAUAAGUAGAGGCCUUUCAUACAGGGUCUGAGAAGGCCACCGCAGUCAUUUCUUCCCUUCUGUCAGACAUAAUUCCUCAGUCUAGCCUUCCCACCUCAAUACAGUCUGAUAACAGACGAGCCUUUAUUAGUCAAAUCAGCCAAGCAGUUUUUCAGGCUCUUAGUAUUCAGUGAAACCUUUAUAUCCCUUAUAGUCCUCCAUCUUCAAGAAAACACACCUCACCAAGCUCAGCCACCAACUUAAAAAGGACUGGACAAUACUUUUACCACUUUCCCUUCUCAGAAUUCAGGCCUGUCCUCAGAAUGCUACAGGGUACAGCCCAUUUAAGGUCCUGUAUAGAUGCUCCUUUUUAUUAGGCCCCAGUCUCAUUCCAGACACCAGACCAACUUAGACUGUGCCUCAAAAAAAAAAAAUCCCAAAAAAAAAAACUUGUCAUCCCUACUAUUUUCUGUCUAGUCAUACUGCUAUUCACCGUUCUCAACUACUCAUACAUGCCCUGCUCUUGUUUACACUGCCAGUUUACACUGUUUUUCCAAGCCAUCACAGCUGAUAUCUCCUGGUGCUAUCCCCAAACUGCCACUCUUAACUCUUGAAGUACAUAAAUAAUCUUUGCUGGCAGGACUAUGCUGAAUCUCCUUAGGCACUCUCUAAUCAGACAUCCUGAGUUGUCCCAAUUCUUAGGCCUUUUAUACCUGUUUUUCUCCUUCUGUUAUUUCAUUUAGUUUUUCAAUUCAUACAAAACCGUAUCCAGGCCAUCACCAAUCAUUCUAUAUGACAAAUGUUUCUUCUAACAUCCCCACAAUAUCACGCCUUACCACAAGACCUCCCUUCAGCUUAAUCUCUCCCACUCUAGGUUCCCACGCCGCCCCUAAUCCCGCUCGAAGCAGCCCUGAGAAACAUCGCCCAUUCUCUCUCCAUACCACCCCCCAAAAAAUUUUCACCGCCCCAACACUUCAACACUAUUUUGUUUUAUUUUUCUUAUUAAUAUAAGAAGGCAGGAAUGUCAGGCCUCUGAGCCCAAGCCAAGCCAUCGCAUCCCCUGUGAUUUGCACGUAUAUGCCCAGAUGGCCUGAAGUAACUGAAGAAUCACAAAAGAAGUGAAUAUGCCUUGCCCCACCUUAACUGAUGACAUUCCACCACAAAAGAAGUGUAAAUGGCCGGUCCUUGCCUUAACUGAUGACAUUACCUUGUGAAAGUCCUUUUCCUGGCUCAUCCUGGCUCAGAAAGCACCCCCACUGAACACCUUGCGACCCCCACUCCUGCCCGCCAGAGAACAAACCCCCUUUGACUGUAAUUUUCCUUUACCUACCCAAAUCCUAUAAAACGGCCCCACCCUUAUCUCCCUUCGCUGACUCUCUUUUCGGACUCAGCCCGCCUGCACCCAGGUGAAAUAAACAGCCAUGUUGCUCACACAAAGCCUGUUUGGUGGUCUCUUCACACGGACACGCAUGAAAGAGUCCUCAUGGAGAAACUCUACUAGGGCAAAGUGGAGGGGAAAUGCAGGCUUGGAGUCCCCCACACAGAAUCCCCACUGGGGCACCGCCUAGUGGAGCUGUGAGAAGAGGGUCACUGUCUUCCGGACCCCAGAAUUGUAGAUCCACUGACAGCUUGCACUGUGCUUCUGGAAAAGCCACCGGCACUCAAUGCCAGCCAGCCGGUGAAAGCAGUCGAGGGGACUGUAUCCCGCAGAACCACAAGGGUGGAGCUUCCCAAGGCCUUGAGAGCCCAGCCCUUGCAUCAGUGUAGCCUGGACGUGAGACAUGGAGUCAAAAGAGAUUAUUUUGGAGCUUUAAGAUUCAAUGGCUGCCCUGCUGGGUUUUGAACUUGCACGUGGCCUGUAGCCUCUUUGUUUUGCCUGAUUUCUCUCUUUUGGAAUGGGAGUGUUUAGCCAAUGCCUGUGCCCCUAUUGUAUCUUGGAAGUAACUAACUUGUUUUUUUAUUUUAUAGACUCAUGGGCAGAAGGGACUUGCCUUGUCUCAGAUGAGACUUUGGACUGUGGACUUUUGAGUUAACACUGAAAUGAGUUAAAAUUUAGGGGACUGUUGAGAAGAGAUUAUUGUAUUUUGUAGUGUGAGAAGGACAUGAUAUUUGGGAGGGGUUGGGGUGGAAUUAUAUGGUUUAAAUUUGGGUCCUCAUUACCAAUGCCAUGAAGCCAUCCUACAAAUCCUGGGCUGCUUACACACCAAUUAAUAUGGUUUCAAUUUGUGUCCCUGACCAAAUCUCAUGUUGAACUGUAAUCCCCAAUGUUGGGGUAGGGGUCUGGUGGAAGGUUAUUGGAUCAUGGGGGCAGACAUUCCCCUUGCUGUUCUCAUGAUGGUGAAUGAGUUCUCAUGAGAUGUGGUUGUUUAAAAGUAUGUAACACCUCUCCUCCUCUCUCUGUUUCUCCUGCUCUAGCCAUGUAAAACGUGCCUCCUCCCUCUUUGCCUUCUGCCAUGAUUGUAAGUUUCCUGAGGCCUCCCAACCAUGCUUCCUGUACAGCCUGUGGAACUGUGGAAGAAUGGUCCAGGGAACUACGAACCCAGGGUUAUCCAGGCUUACAGGGCUGAAAGCCCAGAAUGACUCAGUGCUACAUGUUUUAAGGGAACCAAUAAAGAUCAUUAUUGUUACUCAGCAAUGACAUUCCUGCCACACAGCGCAGGCUCUCUACAUUUCUAUUUACAAUCUUCAUGUUAAUCCCCAAGUAAUAUUUAGAUUGUUGUGUAAAACCCUAAAUUCUGCUCCAAAAGAAGAUUGUGCCAAAUCCAUCUAUCUGAGUCCUUCCCACUGAACUCCUCAUCUUCUUGCCCAGAGGUAGUCCUUCAAUCAUUUCCUCCAGAAAUCUUACUAAACAAAGAACAGCUGACUGCAUUUGAAUGCUCAAGACCUAAAUUGAAUGGGGAAGGAAAGAGUUACACAAAAAAACACACCAGCCAAUUGGCUUCAACUCACUUGAACUAUGAGAGCUUCUAAAAGGUACCUUUCAUGAAUAAGGUUGGAAAAGGACUACACUCAGUUAAAUUCUUUGAACAAUCAUGACAAAAGCCAACCCUAUAUCCAGCAGAAGUUGAGUAUAAAAGGGUAGAGACUGCACUGAAAAAUUGAAAAGUAAAUUAUUACAUGCAAAGCAUGUACCUUUGCAUGAAAACAGAAUUUUAUGACUGUACCAUCUCUGUCUAUUAGCCAAUAAAGUUUUAAAUGAUAUUUUUGAUGAUGUCUCCAGACCCUAAGUGUUGGAGUUUCCACAACAGAGCACUCAGAUGAGAAAGAGACAAAAAAACAAGCAGAUGGCUCUCUGGGCACGACCAUCUCUGUGGUAAUCAUAAGGGUGGGAACCUCCCUAACAGGUAUCCAGGGUUCAAGGAUCAAUGCCCCAGGGGUGAUUGUGAAUGUGAUAAUUAGUUCACAACGUUUGUACUCAUGCAUGGUAAAUCUGUAAACCAGAAUAAUCAUCAUUUAAGUAUAUGUAAUCAUAUAAAUAUAUAUACAUAGAUAUCUAUAUCAAUCUAGCUAUCUAUAUCAUAUGUAAUUGUGUAGCCAGGGCAAAUCCUCCUUAGCACUGACAUCCCUGGCUGGCAGCCUAAUUAAUAAUCAGCACUUUAUUAGGCUAUUGCCAUUUCAUAUUAUCAGUAUCUGUUUCACUCUUCAAACUUCCAAGUGAAAUAUCCAUUAAAAUAUAUUUAAAAGACCAAUACUAGAAACAUUUGUUAUUAAUUUUUAAUUUGAUGUAUAAUACACUGAAUUUAUCUGUCUAUAUUAUAUAUAUCCAUCUUUUAAAUUAUUUUGCUUGAAUCUUUAAUCCUUUGCUUGCUUUAAUUGUCAGAGACUGAAUGUGGUAUCUAGCGAUCUCUUAAUUCCAGCAUCCUGACCUUAGCCCUCCCCACUCCACUGCCACCAGCCCAAACAAAUCUAUUAAUAAUCUGGCACUAGUUUCCAACAUUCUCAACAGGCUUCAUGACAAAAAAUAAUUCUGAUCAAAUAAUCCAGUGAUAGCAGUUGCUAAAGAUGCUUACAAUAACUAACAGAAGAUUUUUGAGAAACGAAUUAUCACUCCAGAUAUCUCUGAAGAGUGUCUUGAAACACACUUGAAAAUUGAUCAUAUCAUAUCCCACAAAGAAAAUCACAAUAAAUUCCUCAGUAAGCUCUGGUGGCAUUGGGACCAGGUUUCCCAUGGGGGUGGCCAACUAGUUAAGCACCCUUCUUUAGAUUUCCUCGUUUACUUCACUAGCACCACUCUCCUACUCUUUGGAUCCCAUCCCAAAUAAACCAUCUGCCCAUAAGCCCUUAUUUCAGCUUUGUUUUCCUUGAAAACAAAAUCUAGGAUAUGUUCUUUCUUUUGCACUUAUUGUCUGCAUCCUGCUCAAUUUGGAUUCUUAUGUCCAGCAGUUUCUCCUCAGUGCAUGUUUUGUCCUACAAGGGGGCUGCACUUUGUUAGUUUUGACAGUCCAUGGGGUCCAAUCCACUCUAACACUCACCCGUAAAUUGGAGGUUGCAAAGUGCUCCUGAAGUUCUGUUCUCAGACCAGCCAGCUGCACUUUCCUAUGAAAACCUGUUAGCAGUUUCGAGGCUUUUCAUCCUUGAUCUGUCAGAAACCCCUCUGCUUUCCCUUCUUUUUCAUCUAUAGGUAGGUUCUGAUAAUAAGCAGAUUUGGUUACUAUGCAUAGUUCACUUGUAUUUGAGUGUUCAUGUGAAUACCUUCUCACAUACUUGUAUGUAGGGGUUCACAUGAAUACCUUCUCAUGGUGCUUUUGCUGCAGAUUUCUCUAUUCAUUUGGGUUUGCUCUCCUAGUGGCAUUCUAUUCCAUUCCAUUCCACAACCACACGAGUAAAGGAUAUAUUCUGUAAAUAAUCUGCAAACUCAGUGAUUGAGAAAAAUAGUGGUCAUCACUUUAUAACACAUACUAAAAUAAGCUGCAAAUGAACUGAGAUAAAUCUUAAAAUGUAAACAUAACAAGAAGAAAUAGUAGGCAAAUAUGUAUCUUAUUUGUGAAGAGGAAAUUGUUUUUCUAAGCUUAAAAUCCUAAAAUGAAAAGAAAAAAAUGAUACUCAUUUAUAUUAAAAUUUCAAAAACUUGAUAUAAAAUAGUUAAACAGUAAGUUUAAUGCAAGUUAAAUACUAAGCAACAAAAAUACUGGUGUUAAUGUGGCAAAGGAUUAAUUUUUAAUAUAUGAAUGCUAUGAAAUAUAUCAGUAUGAAUGAUACUAAAAUCUAGAUAGAAAAAUGAGCAUAAGGCAUGAACACAGAAUUUGUAAUAAAAGCAGCAGAAAUGACUAGUAAAUGUGUGACUAAUUUGCAAGCUCUCUAGCAAGCAAAAAAAGUGCAAAUUAAAACAACAGUAUAAUAUCAUUUUUCUCCAAAUUACUAAUUUUUAAAAAUCAGGUAAGUCCUGAUUAAUUUACUUAUUUCAUAGUUUUAUAAUUUCAUAAGUAAGUAUUUCAUAUUUCAUCAUUUAAGUAAAUUAAUUAAUUAAAAUGUUGUUUGGUAAAAUAGAGAAUCAGAGCAAAAGGAGGUAGUAUAUGAAGGUAUGUCAAACUUGCUAAGCGUUGGUAACUUCAAUGCAUCAUACUUCUCCAUUACAAGGAUGAAUCCAGUCCACAGAUUAGAUUUGUCUAUUUGCUACGGCAUCCCCUACCCAGGAAACAUAUUAGAAAAUAGUUACUCUGUAAUUCACCUUUUCCCAAACUCUUUGAGGACUAUAGUCUUUCUCUUUGCUCUUGUUAGGUCACCCUUCUUUAUUUAUUUUCAAAUCUUGGUUAAUGGCCUCACCAUCUAAUUUGUCAACCUAGCUGGAUCCUAAGAUAUCUUUAACUUCUUCCUGUACCUUAUUCCUCUCCCUGACAAGUAGAACCUUGGGAUGCCAAUUCAGAUGUAAUAUCCAGGAAACUUAAAUGGACCCCAAAUAUGGGGCAUUAUUUGUGGUGGCAUUCGCAAGGGAGUGGUCCAAGAAACAGUGAAUCAGAGAGCUGGGUAAAUUUCCAAAAAGUAUCACAUGAGGGGGCUAGAUGAGUGACGUUCAUACCAUCUGUGAAAUGUUGUAAAAUACAGAUGCCCAAGCUUCUCCACAGACAUGUUCAUCAAAAAAUGCUUCCCUCAAAUUCAUCAGUGACUUCCUUACCACUAAAUCCAAUGGGCAUUUUUUUAACCUCAUCUUGACUGAACUCUCAGCAGAAUUUGACACUCGGAGGAAAAGCUCUGCUGGGCUUCUUUGGCACUAUGCUCUGCUGUUCCCUUCUUCCUCUCUGGCCAAGGCUUCCAGUCUCCUUUUCCGGCUUUUACGCUGUUUAGUCUUCAAAUGUUGAUGUUCCUUGAAGCUUGCUUUUUGUCUUUUCUUGCUCCACAAACUUUCUCUGACAAUAUCAUAUCUUCACUUACUGUAUACAUGCCAAAGACUUCUACAAAUAUAUCUUCAGAUUUAAUAUGCUCUUCUGAGCAUAUUAAGUCAGGUUAAUAAAUGCUCGUUGAAUUCACAAAUGACAAACAUUUCAAAAAUGCAUAGUUACUUUCUCUUCUACCUCAUUUUAGAUUAGUACAUUCUUGGUGACAUGGAAAUCACCCUUAUAUCAUAAUCUAUAUCUCCAAUUCUUUAUUUCUAUAAUCAGUAAAUCGCACACCGAGUUUGAAAAUCGGUAUAAACUUUAAUAGAAAGAGUUUCUCUUCAAUGAUCUGUCUUCUUUUUGACUUGCAAAUUAGUCAUCUCACAUAUUAUUUAUCCCAUUGUAUUUAGUAUAAUAAUUUGCACAUAGAGUUCAGUGAAAAUGUAUUAUAUGUUUGAUUUUGUUUAUUCCUUAAUUUCCCUAGAGGAGGCCAAAGUAAAAUUUGAGGUAUUUCUAUUUGGUAUAAUCUGAUGUAAUUUUGUAUGGAUUGAUCCCACAUAACAACAUCUUCCAAUUUGUACCUUUUUGCUUUGGACUGUUCAACUUUGGGCUAUAUUCUCUCUGGAAACUAAAAAUACCACAAGUGAUUGUUGCAGAAAAAUAGUAUAUGGCUUUGACAAGCAUAAUAACUGAAAUCAAGCAAUUAGAGACUGUCAUAACUGCACAGAAAC